GUGCUUGCUUUGAAAGCACAUAUACUAAAAUUGGAAUAAUACAGAGAAGACUAGCAUGGCCCCUACACAAGGAUGGCAUGCAAAU
rnacentral:snRNA from 1 species